UACGUAGGGUGCAAGCGUUAAUCGGAAUUACUGGGCGUAAAGCGUGCGCAGGCGGUUCUUUAAGACAGAUGUGAAAUCCCCGGGCUCAACCUGGGAACUGCAUUUGUGACUGUAGAGCUGGAGUACGGCAGAGGGGGAUGGAAUUCCGCGUGUAGCAGUGAAAUGCGUAGAUAUGCGGAGGAACACCGAUGGCGAAGGCAAUCCCCUGGGCCUGUACUGACGCUGAGGAGCGAAAGCGUGGGGAGCGAACAGG
rnacentral:rRNA from 1 species